CUACACAUGACGCUGGCGGCAUCCUUACAGAUUCAUGUCGAACGGUAACAGGUCUUCGGAUGCUGACGAGUGGCGAACGUGAGUAAUACAAUCGGAACGUGCCCGAGAGUGGGGGAUAACGAAGCGAAAGCUUUGCUAAUACCGCAUACGAUCUCAGGAUGAAAGCAGGGGACCGCCAGGACUUGCGCUCACUGAGCGGCCAAUGGCAGAUUAAGUAGUAGGUGGGAUAAAAGCUUACCAAGACCGACGAUCUUGUAGACUGGUCUUGAGAAGGCGGACAGACACACUGGGACUGAGACACCUGACCAGAAUCCUACGGGAAGCCAGCAGUGGGGAAUUUUUGGAACAUGGGCGCGAGACUGAUCCAGCCAUGACGCGUGAAAGAAUGAAAGACUUCGAGGUUUGGUAACCUGAUUUAUGUACGGGAACGACAAAGACUCUGGGUUAAUACCUGGGGGUCCCUGAACGGUAACGUAAGAAUAAGCACCGGGUAAAUACAUUGCAACAAGCCGGGAAAUACGUAUGGUGCGAAAGUUAAACUGAAUUACUGGGCGUAAAAGUUGACAGGCGGGAAUGUAACAACACUGUCGAAUCCCCGGGGACAACCAGUGGAACUGGAUUUUGACAGGAAUAACAUGAAUAAGGGAAAAGGGGAAUUAAAUCAGCGUGUAUCACGGGAAUGCGUAAAUUUCCGAGGGCACCCCAUGCGAAAGAAA
rnacentral:rRNA from 1 species